CAUAAUUCGAGCUGACCUACUGCGAAUUGAAAUUUUACUUCGUCGCCGAGCUUCUGACUUGCAAUUAUAAACUCGAACUGAGCGAACCAUAGCCGAGGUCUGUGUCGCCAGAAUAAAGGGAUGCGGGACUUCAGUGAUAUUGCUGCGAGUUCUGAGAGUUCUUCCGUCGGGGUCACCAUUUGUAGGAGUUUUCGUUUAAGGUUCGCUGCUCAGGAGUUCAAGUGAAAGACACGAUUCUUUAAUCGGAAUGUAAUAAUUUAUUUGAAUCAAUCUUAGUCUAAUAUAUACAUUUUUGCUUCACAAAUAAAGAGACGCGCGCGAGUUAUAUCGGUAUUGUCGCACAACAAUCCAUGUACACAGACAUGCAAAUGGUUUACACACACAUAUGCGGCAAUACGCGCGGAGCGCCUCUCGCGGUCUCGACACAGCUCGCCCGCUCCUUAGCAGUCACAGUCGGCGCGCGGCAGCGAGUGGACGUUCAGUGAAGUGCAGUGCAGACAGUGUGUUUCAAGAACAUUCCACGAGCCACGAAGCCACGAAGAUAUUCUAGCCACCAUGUAGGGCUCAGAUAAAUUCCAGUGCAUAGUGUAUUCUCUGACACAAUGCAGGUAGUUUCCGUGGUCAACAUGUUCAAACACACAUUCAGCAAUCGUAUCGUGUGUUUGAAUCGACAGCGUGUAAAGAAUGUAUCAUUUGGACUAUUAAGCCGGCCGUACACGAGAUUGUUUGAGCGAAUUUAAAGCGAAAGUAGCGAAUGUGCGGUGGGCCUUAUCUCACAUCAGCAAGGAGUGUCAGUCAUGGGCGGGUGGUCUCUUGCGUCACUGGCGGAGUAAUCUGACGAUAAAUCACAGCUUCUGGAUCGGAAUGAGAUCACGGGCUUAUUGGGCCCCAAUGAAAGACGGACCUGAUUUGGCUCUUCGAUUUGAGAUUUUAACUUCUCGAUUUAUAGCGACGAAAACUGAAUCCGAUUUGUAACGUGCGUACGAAUGAUGGAUAUGAUUAUGACUAAAGUUUAUUAAUUAUUUUCAUUUGUUUUUUUAUUAAGUCUCAAAAUCAAUCGCGCUUUCAAAAGCGCUUUUAUCUUUAAGGAACUUAUCAAUGUUGUAGUAACCUCGACUAAGUAAAUGUUUUUUAACACAUUGCUUAAAGCUAUGCAUUGGCAGGUCCAUCACAGUAUCAUUGUUAUUAUAAAAAUCAUACCUAAGAGUUGAUUUUCGUAAAAUAUCUAUUAUGGGAUGAUUAAAAAUAUCUAAAAAUGUCGGUUAGCUUGUUUAAAUAUUCGCAUUGGAAUGAAAUUUUAGCAAAUUGAUUUUGAGUUAAUAAAAAU